UACGUAGGGGGCUAGCGUUGUUCGGAAUUACUGGGCGUAAAGCGUAUGCAGGCGGAUCGUUAAGUCGGGGGUGAAAUCCCGAGGCUCAACCUCGGAACUGCCUUCGAUACUGGCGAUCUUCGAGUCCGGGAGAGGUGAGUGGAACUCCGAGUGUAGAGGUGAAAUUCGUAGAUAUUCGGAAGAACACCAGUGGCGAAGGCGGCUCACUGGCCCGGUACUGACGCUGAGGAGCGAAAGCGUGGGGAGCAAACAGG
rnacentral:rRNA from 1 species